UACGUGUAGAGCUAGCGUUGCUCGGAUUUACUGGGCUUAAAGGGUGUGUAGGCGGCUUUGUAAGUAAGGUGUGAAAUCCAACGGCUUACCCGUUGAACUGCAUCUUAUACUGCUUUGCUUGAGGGUCGGAGAGGAUAGCGGAAUUCUGGGUGUAGCGGUGAAAUGCGUAGAUAUCCAGGAGAACGCCGGUGGCGAAGGUGGCUAUCUGGCCGAUUUCUGACGCUGAAACACGAAAGCCAGGGGAGCAAACGGGAUUAGAUACCCCGGUAGUCCUGGCCCUAAACGAUGUGCACUUGGUGGUGGGAUCUUCGGGUUUCGCCGCCGUAGCAAAAGCGUUAAGUGCACCGCCUGGGGAGUACGGUCGCAAGACUAAA
rnacentral:rRNA from 1 species